GGGGAUAUACCUCAGUGGUAAAGCACUUGCCAAGCUUGUAAGGGUCCUGGGUUCAAACCCCAGUACUGCCA
rnacentral:tRNA from 1 species